UACGUAGGGUGCGAGCGUUAAUCGGAAUUACUGGGCGUAAAGCGUGCGCAGGCGGUUUUGUAAGCCAGAUGUGAAAUCCCCGGGCUUAACCUGGGAAUGGCAUUUGGGACUGCAAGGCUGGAGUGUGGCAGAGGAGACUGGAAUUCCUGGUGUAGCAGUGAAAUGCGUAGAGAUCAUGAGGAAGACCAGUGGCGAAGGCGGGUCUCUGGACAGUUCCUGACACUGAGACACGAAGGCCAGGGGAGCAAACGGG
rnacentral:rRNA from 1 species